rnacentral:rRNA from 1 species
GAUGAACGCUAGCGGCAGGCUUAAUACAUGCAAGUCGAGGGGCAGCAUGGGUAGCAAUGCCUGAUGGCGACCGGCAAACGGGUGCGGAACACGUACGCAACUUUCCCAGAACUGGUGAAUAGCCCUCCGAAGGGAGGAUUAAUACACCGUAAGGUAGAGAUGUGGCAUCACAUUUUUAUUAUAGCUCCGGCGGUUUUGGAUGGGCGUGCGCCUGAUUAGGUAGUUGGCGGGGUAACGGCCAACCAAGCCUACGAUCAGUAACUGGUGUGAGAGCACGACCAGUAACACGGGCACUGAGACACGGGCCCGACUCCUACGGGAGACAGCAGUAAGGAAUAUUGGUCAAUGGACGCAAGUCUGAACCAGCCAUGCCGCGUGAAGGAUGAAGGCCCUCUGGGUUGUAAACUUCUUUUAUCUGGGACGAAAAAGGGGCAUUCUUGCUCAACUGACGGUACCAGAGGAAUAAGCACCGGCUAACUCCGUGCCAGCCGCCGCAGUAAGAC